UACAGGGUCUUGCUCUGUUGACCAGACCGUGACCUCCUGGGUUGAAGUGAGGACUCAGCCUCCUGAGUAGCCGGGACUACAGGGUCUUGCUCUGUUGACCAGACCGUGACCUCCUGGGUUGAAGUGAGGACUCAGCCUCCUGAGUAGCCGGGACUACAGGUUCUUGUUCUGUCAUCCAGGCUGGAGUGCAGUCGUUAUCCAAGCUCACUGUCGCCUUAAACUACUGGGCUC